rnacentral:rRNA from 1 species
GAUGAACGCUGGCGGCGUGCCUAAUACAUGCAAGUCGAGCGAACGGACGAGAAGCUUGCUUCUCUGAUGUUAGCGGCGGACGGGUGAGUAACACGUGGAUAACCUACCUAUAAGACUGGGAUAACUUCGGGAAACCGGAGCUAAUACCGGAUAAUAUUUUGAACCGCAUGGUUCAAAAGUGAAAGACGGUCUUGCUGUCACUUAUAGAUGGAUCCGCGCUGCAUUAGCUAGUUGGUAAGGUAACGGCUUACCAAGGCAACGAUGCAUAGCCGACCUGAGAGGGUGAUCGGCCACACUGGAACUGAGACACGGUCCAGACUCCUACGGGAGGCAGCAGUAGGGAAUCUUCUGCAAUGGGCGAAAGCCUGACGGAGCAACGCCGCGUGAGUGAUGAAGGUCUUCGGAUCGUAAAACUCUGCUAUUAGGGAAGAACAUAUGUGUAAGUAACUGUGCACAUCUUGACGGUACCUAAUCAGAAAGCCACGGCUAACUACGUG